AAAAAGGAAAAUGCAUAUAUUAGACUAUGGCUCCAAUUAAUCAAGACAGAGACAAUCCAAGCUUUUGAGCAUUUGUACCCAGAUAACCUUAAAAUCUUCCUUAAAAAAUCAAUGUAAAAUUUUGUUGAUUGUUACUAGCAUCUAUUGUUCUUAUUUCACAGCACCAGAGAGCAUUGCCUUCAAAAUGUCAACCAGCAUAAGCAAAAUAUUUAUUGAGUUAUUAACAACCUAGGAGAAAAGAAAAAGACAUUUAUUGACAUCAUAUCAAUAUCAUCAGUAAUGAGAAAAAAAAAA
rnacentral:misc_RNA from 1 species